CUACGGCCAUACCAUGGUGAAUAUACCGGUUCUCGUUAGAUCACCGAAGGCAAGCAUCAUUGGGCGCGGUCAGUACUUGGGUGGG